rnacentral:rRNA from 1 species
CCAUGCCACCCUGAACACGCCCGAUCCCAUCUGAUCUCGGAAGCUAAGAAGGGUCAGGCCUGGUUAGUACUUGGAUGGGAGACCACGUAGGCGCUGUUGGUG